rnacentral:misc_RNA from 1 species
AACGCAUCUUGCGCUCCUUGGUAUUCCGAGGAGCAUGCCUGUUUGAGUGUCAUUAAAUUCUCAACUAUACUAGGUUUAUCCUGUGUAUAGCUUGGAUCAAUGGGGGCUUUUGCAGGCUUUUAUGAAGUCAGCUCCCCUGAAAUGUAUUAGCAGUAUCUAAACAGAGGAAUGCUACUAUAGGUGUGAUAAAUAUCUAUGCCUUAGUACUCUGUAAAUUAAGAUUGCACUGCUUCUAACUCAUAUUUGACAUGCUUGACCUCAAAUCAGGUAGGACUACCCGCUGAACUUAA